rnacentral:miRNA from 1 species
CCGACACCCCCGGUGACAGCCGU